AAUUUGACUUAGGGAAUUCCUUAGGACCGGUCGGGCUGGUUAUACUCAAAUAACAGCCUGCCAAUCGUGAACUGACACGUAGGACUUCCACCAAGACUUCCGUGGACCAGCACUACUCGUGAAACAUGCUGAGAUUUUAGAAAUCAUUUCUUCCCAAGCUCAGCUUCGUUGUCUUCAAGCCCUAACUACUUCACGUCGAGCUCUCCGAUUUCUCUAACAUUUUUUGCGUGUCUCCGAUUUCUAUCCCGUGGCUCGAUUUUAUAUUUCCCAGCCGUUGCUUGCGAUUUCUUAUUUCUCAGACGUUGCUCGCGAUUUCCCAUUUCCCAGCCGUCGGUCGCUUGCGAGUUCCCAUUUCCCUGCCGUUGCUUGCAAUUUCCCAUUUCCCAUUUCCCAGCCGUUGCUUGCGAUUUCUCCACCAAGGUCAAUGAUUUCUCCACCAACCUCGUUGUCGCCCUCUCCGAUUACCCACUCGUGGCUUGCAAUUUCCUAGUCGUCACUCAACGAUUUCUCCACCAACGUCGUCGUCGACCGAUCCGAUUUCCCACCCAUGGCUCGCGAUUUCCCAGUCGUCGCUCGCCAUUUCCCAGCCAUUGCUCGCGAUUUCUCCAACUUGCUCAGCCCUCGCGAUUUCUCAGCCCUCGUGAUUUCUGAACCUGCCCUCACGUUUGACCUACGUCGGCUUCGGCUUCACAGUCAGAUUUCUAGGUCGCUGUCGGGCUGAGCUUUCCGGUCAGUUCGUCAUGCUCACAGUUUGAUUUCUGGGUCUGGGUCGCCGUCGGGCUGAGCUUGCGGGUCAAUUCUUCUUGCUGAUGAAUGGGAGAAGGCCUUACGGGAAGGGGAGAAAGGCAUAGGCAGAUCGAAGGGGAGAAAGUGUCAUCUUCUCCAACAAAACUUUGCGGUGUUUUCUGUGUGCUGCAAUGAACGUUGAGGUUACCCCUGAUGAAAAUGAAAAUACGAAAAUCAUCAUAAAUGUUGAUGAACGUACAAAAGAACAGAAGGAGAUCGACGAUUGGCUUCUAAUCACAUCUUCGAGGAACGCAAAAUGAUGGUACUCUGCUUUCCACAAUGUCACUGCCAUGGUUGGAGCAGGUGUCUUGAGUCUUCCAUAUACCAUGGCCAAUCUAGGAUGGGUUCCUGGGGUAGUCAUCCUGAUACUCUCAUGGAUAAUCACUUUAUACACACUACGGCAAAUGGUUGAAAUGCAUGAAAUGAUUCCAGGAAAACGGUUUGAUAGGUACCAUGAACUGGGUCAACAAGCCUUUGGCGAAAAGCUUGGUCUGUGCAUUGUGGUACCACAACAGCUCAUUUGCGAAGUAGGAGUGGACAUUGUGUAUAUGGUCACCAGAGGGAAAUCGCUGCAAAAGGUCCAUAAAAUACUUUGCAAAGAUUGCAAAUCAAUCAAAACUACCUACUUCAUCAUGAUUUUUGCUUUGGUUCAUUUUGUCCUCUCCCACCUCCCAAACUUCAACUCCAUCUCUGGGGUCUCAUUGGCGGCAGUGGUCAUGUCUUUGAGUUACUCUACAAUUGCAUGGGCAGCUUCCGCGUCCAUAAGGGGGUUCAGGCAGAUGUGGAUUAUGGUUAUAAAGCCUCAAGCUUGUCAGGAACAGUUUUAAACUUCUUCACUGCAUUGGGUGAUGUAGCUUUUGCUUAUGCCGGACACAACGUAGUAUUAGAGAUCCAAGCAACAAUCCCUUCUAUGCCUGAGAAACCAUCCAAGCUGCCUAUGGAGAGGAGUGGUGGCCGCCUAUAUUAUAGUGGCUUUGUGCUACUUCCCAGUUGCUCUCAUCGGAUAUUACAUGUUCAGAAACAAAGUUGAUGAUAACAUCCUAAUCUCAUUAGAGAAACCUGAAUGGCUUAUCGUAGCAGCUAACCUGUUUGUCAUUGUCCAUGUCAUCGGCAGCUAUCAGAUAUAUGCAAUGCCUGUAUUUGAUAUGAUAGAAACUUUGUUGGUAAAGAAGAUGCAUUUUAGAUCAUCAACAACCCUUCGUUUCAUUGUACGCAAUUUAUAUGUUGCAUUCACAAUGUUUGUAGCCAUUACCUUCCCUUUUUUUGGUGGUCUUCUGGGAUUCUUUGGAGGAUUUGCAUUUGCACCAACAACAUACUUCGCAAGCUGCAAUCCAUCCCUCUAAAAAUUAAAAAUGAAACGUCAUAGAUAUGAGAUUCUUAUUCAGUAAAAAUGACUUGCAACAAAGUAUUUCAUACAAGUUUUUCCUGUAUCAUACAUUCUUCAGCUCCCCUGCAUCAUGUGGCUUGCCAUUUACAAACCAAAGAAGUUCAGUUUAUCUUGGUGUACCAGCUGGGUAUGUUCAACUUAAAUAAUGCUUCAUUGUCCUCACUGUACUUUCAUCAGCUUUAAAAUCCAAAAUCAGAUAAUCUAAUUUGGCUUGCUGAAUUUCAGAUCUGCAUCAUACUGGGCCUCCUGCUGAUGAUUCUCUCACCUAUUGGAGGGCUAAGAAACGUCAUAAUUCAAGCCAAGACCUACGACUUCUACUCUUAAACCACCUCAAACACCAGAAAAGUCAGCUGCUGUUAUAAAUCAAAUAAUGUUAGUACAUUAUAUCUGUACUCAUCAAUAAGAUAACCAAACUCUUGAUGUGUGUUCUCAGCAUGAGUGAAAGACAUUAUGUAUUACUCGUCAUAUAUAAGCAUAAACAGCAGAAUACUUGCCUUUA